rnacentral:rRNA from 1 species
UACGGAGGGUGCAAGCGUUAUCCGGAUUCACUGGGUUAAAGGGUGCGUAGGUGGCUUGUAAGUCAGUGGUGAAAUCUUCUGAGCUAACUCAGAACUGCCAUUGAUACUAUAGGUCUUGAAUCUUCUGGAGGUCGAGCGAAUAUGUCAUGUAGCGGAUGAAAUGCUUAGAUAAUGACAUAGAACACCAAUUGCGAAGGCAGCUGGACUACGGGAGCAUUGACACUG